AACGAACGCUGGCGGCAGGCUUAACACAUGCAAGUCGAGCGCCCCGCAAGGGGAGCGGCAGACGGGUGAGUAACGCGUGGGAAUCUACCCAUCUCUACGGAAUAACGCAUGGAAACGUGUGCUAACACCGUAUACGUCCUUCGGGAGAAAGAUUUAUCGGAGAUAGAUGAGCCCGCGUUGGAUUAGCUAGUUGGUGGGGUAAAGGCCUACCAAGGCGACGAUCCAUAGCUGGUCUGAGAGGAUGAUCAGCCACACUGGGACUGAGACACGGCCCAGACUCCUACGGGAGGCAGCAGUGGGGAAUAUUGGACAAUGGGCGCAAGCCUGAUCCAGCCAUGCCGCGUGAGUGAUGAAGGCCCUAGGGUUGUAAAGCUCUUUCACCGGUGAAGAUAAUGACGGUAACCGGAGAAGAAGCCCCGGCUAACUUCGUGCCAGCCGCCGCGGUAA
rnacentral:rRNA from 1 species